rnacentral:rRNA from 1 species
ACGUAGGGGACGAGCGGUGAAAGGAAAAAAUGGGAGAAAAGGGAGAGUAGGAGGUGAGGGAAGAAAGAAGGGCAAGGGGGGGGAGAAACCGGAUCAUGCGGUUGAAACUGGAUGACUGGAGUGCUGGAGAGGCAAGUGGAAUUCCCAGUGUAGCGGUGAAAUGCGUAGAUAUUGGGAAGAACACCGGUGGCGAAGGCGACUUGCUGGCCAGCAACUGACGCUGAGGCGCGAAAGCCAGGGGAGCAAACGG